rnacentral:lncRNA from 1 species
CAAAUCCUAUAAAAGGGCCCCACCCCUAUCUUCCUUUGCUGACUCUCUUUUCAGACUCAGCCCACCUGCACCCAGGUGAAAUAAACAGCUUUAUUGCUCACACAAAGCCUGUUUGGUGGUCUCUUCACAUGGAUGGGCAUGAAAUUUGUUGCCGUGACUCAGAUUGGGGGACCUCCCUUCGGAGAUCGAUCCCCUGUCCUCCUGCUCUUUGCUCCGUGAGAAAGGUCCACCUACAACCUCAGGUCCUCAGACUGAUGAGCCCAAGAAACAUCUCACCAAUUUCAAAUCCAGUAAGCGGCCUCUUUUAACUCUCUUCUCCAACCUCUCUCACUGUCCCUCAACCUCUUUCUCCUUUCAAUCUUGGCGCCACACUUCAAUUUCUCCCUUCUCUUAAUUUUAAUUCCUUUCAUUUUCUGGCAGAGACAAAGGAGACACGUUUUAUCCGUGGACCCAAAACUCCGGUGCUGGUCACAGACUAGGGAUGGCAGCCUUCCCUUUGUGUUUAAUCAUUGCAGGGAUGCCUCUCUGAUUAUUCACCCAGGUUUCAGAGGUGUCAGACCACGCAGGGAUGCCUGCCUUGGUCCUUCACCCUUAGUGGCAAGUCCUGUUUUUCUGGGGGAGGGGCAAGUACCCCAACCCCUUCUCUCCGUGUCUCUACCCCUUCUCCACUUUUCUGGGGGAGGGGCAAGAACCCCUCAACCCCUUCUCCUUCACCCUUAGCAGCAAGUUCCAUUUAUCUAGGGGGCAAGAAACCCCAAUCCCUUAUUUCCAUGCCCCGACCUCUUAUCUCUGCACCCCAAUCCUUAUUUCUGUGCCCCAAAGUCUUAUCUCUGCACCCCAACCCCUUAUUUCCACACCCCAACCCCUUUCCCACUUUUCUGGAGGGUAAGAACCCCUGAACCCCUUCCCUCCAUGUCUCUACUCUCUCUUUUCUCUGGGCUUGCUUCCGUCACUAUAGGCAACCUUCCACCCUCCAUUCCUGCUUCUUCUCUCUUAGCCAGUGUUCUCAAGAACUUAAAACCUCUUCAACUCACACCUGACCUAAAACCUAAAUGCCUUAUUUUCUUCUACAAUGCCACUUGACCCCAAUACAAACUUGACAGUGGUUCCAAAUAGCCAGAAAAUGGCAUUUCCAUUUUUUCCAUCCUACAAGAUCUAAAUAAUUCUUGUUGUAAAAUAGCCAAAUAGUCUGAGGUGCCUGACGUCCAGGCAUUCUUUUACACAUCAGUCCCUCCCUAGUCUCUGUUCCCAAUGCAACUCAUCCCAAAUCUUCCUUCUUUCCCUUCCACCUGUCCCCUCAGUCCCAACCCCAAGUGUCGCUGAGUCUUUCUAAUCUUCCUUUUCUACAGACCCAUCUGAUCUCUCCCCUUCUAGCCAGGCCAAGCUAGGUCCUAAUUCUUCCUCAGCCUCCACUCCUCCACCCUAUAAUCCUUUUAUCACCUCCCCUCCUCACACUCUGUCCAGGUUACAGUUUCCUUCCGUGACUAGCCCUCCCCCACCUGCCCAGCAGUUUACUCUUAAAAAGGUGGCUGGAGCUAAAGGCAUAGUCAAGGUUAAUGCUCCUGUUUCUUUAUCCCAAAUCAGAUAGCGUUUAGGCUCUUUUUCAUCAAAUAUAAAAACCCAGCCCAGUUCAUGGCUCAUUUGGCAGCAACCCUGAGAUGCUUUACAGCCCUAGACCCUAAAAAGUCAAGAGGCCGUCUUAUUCUUAAUACACAUUUUAUUACCCAAUCUGCUCCUGACAUUAAAUAAAACUCCAAAAAUUAAAUUCCGGCCCUCAAACCCCACAACAGGACUUAAUUAACCUUGCCCUCAAGGUGUGCAAUAAUAGAGGCAGCCAAGUAGCAACAUAUUUCUGAGUUGCAAUUCCUUGCCUCCACUGUGAGACAAACCCCAGCCACAUCUCCAGCACACAAGAACUUCCAAAUGCCUAAACCACAGUGGCCAGGCAUUCCUCCAGAACUGCCUCCCCCAGGAGCUUGCUACAAGUGCCAGAAAUCUGGCCACCAGGCCAAGGAAUGCCCGCAGCCUGGGAUUCCUCCUAAGCCAUGUCCCAUCUGUGUGGGAUCCCAGUGGAAAUCAGACUGUUCAACUCACCUGGUAGCCACUCCCAGGGCCCCUGGAACUCUGGCCCAAGGCUCUCUGACUCCUUCCCAGAUCUUCUCGGCUUAGCGGCUGAAGACUAACACUGCCUGAUUACCUCGGAAGCCCUGUAGACCAUCACGGACACCGAGCUUUAAGUAACUCUCACAGUGGAGGCCUGCCCUAACCAGGAACCAUACCAGAAGAGCAUUUGGAGAAAAGUACUUUCAGCUUAACCUAAGCUGAUACAGAAAAAUACAUCACCAUCAACCUUUUGUCUACUUUUCAAACAUAUGAACUUCUCUCGAUUAUAUACCCAUCAUUCAAAUAAAGACAAUAUUUGAGUCACCAAAAGUGCCGUGCAACCUCCUUUGUCCAACUAAUUGCAUUAUAAACUUUUCUGCAGAAGAAAACACAAGUCCUUUAUUGAUCUUAGGAUGGUUUUACUCUUCUUCUAGCUGACAUCUUCUUCCCUUUCAAUAUUCCAUCACUUAAAUAUUGAUUUUUUCUUGGGGAA